rnacentral:rRNA from 1 species
GAGUUUGAUCUUGGCUCAGAUUGAACGCUGGCGGCAUGCCUUACACAUGCAAGUCGAGCGGCAGCAUGAUCUAGCUUGCUAGAUUGAUGGCGAGUGGCGAACGGGUGAGUAAUACAUCGGAACGUGCCCUGUAGUGGGGGAUAACUAGUCGAAAGAUUAGCUAAUACCGCAUACGACCUGAGGGUGAAAGUGGGGGACCGCAAGGCCUCAUGCUAUAGGAGCGGCCGAUGUCUGAUUAGCUAGUUGGUGGGGUAAAGGCCCACCAAGGCGACGAUCAGUAGCUGGUCUGAGAGGACGAUCAGCCACACUGGGACUGAGACACGGCCCAGACUCCUACGGGAGGCAGCAGUGGGGAAUUUUGGACAAUGGGCGAAAGCCUGAUCCAGCAAUGCCGCGUGUGUGAAGAA